rnacentral:lncRNA from 10 species
GGAAAUCUGCCCAAUAGUCUUAUAAGGUUGAAGUUUCAGUGAGAUUACAGUGGGGAAUUAGAAGCAUGCCACAGGGAGGGAGAGUUGACAAGCCCUUGAUGUCAUCUGUCUUCAUGGGUCACUGCUGCCAUUCCUGCCUUCACAGUCCUUCCAGGCCCUGCUGGCCUCCUGGAACCUCCUAACAAUGACUCCAGCUCAAGAAGGGAGAUGCAAAAACUUGGCAUUCUGUAUUUCCAGGCCCUUUUCAGGUCCUGCCUCCGCUGCUGAAUGCUGACUAGAAGGAGCGGCACUGGCCCCUUCUCUAAAACCCACUUGAUGUCUUUUCUCUCGCUCCCCAGCCUGAUGAUCUUUCUCCAGCCUUGGGAAGGAGGGAAAGACCUUCUCACUCCCUCCAUAUUUCUCCAAAUAUUUGCUUUAUAUCCAGAGUCCUCUCAGUAGCCCUCAGAGCUUAGACUUUUGAAAACCAAAGUCAAACAAUUUAUUUCCCAGCUCUUUAUUCUGACUGAUCUCUGGAAACAAGUUGCUCUGUACCUCCUAAAAGAAAGUGUGCAUUGGGCAAUACCAAAAAGCUGGGAAAACUACCCUGAAAAAUCAGCCUAACACAUACAUUUGGUCAUGAGAAGAAACUGAAAUAAUCAAUGUCAACAAGUGACUUGGUGUGUAAAUUAUAACAACAACUGACAUCUUUUAAGCAUUGAUCACAUGCCAGGCACUAUUUUAAGCACUUUACGUAUAGUAACUCACGUAAUUCUUAUAAUAUCCUUGAGAUUUAGGAAGAUUCAUUUUAUGGAUGGAGAGACUCAGGCACAGAAAUGUUAAGAGACUUGCCGCAUGUCACACAGCUAUGAGUGUUGGAGUAAGGCUUGGUGCCUAAGAAGUCUGGCACUGGAGUCUAGACCCUCAAGUACAGAAGCAGACGUUUGUUUGGAAGCUCCAGCCUAGAGUGAAGAUUGCUAAUUACAAACUCCAUUGCAUACUUUUAUUUUUUAUUUGGAAACAUUUUAGAUACAUAAAGAUAUACACAAUAACAUCAAACCCCGUACACCCACCAGUCAGCUUAACAAAUAAACCAAAUAUACAUAAUGCCUAAUUGAGACCCCUUGCCUUACUCUGUUGAGACUGCUAAAACAAAAUAUCGUAAACUGGGUGGCUUGUAAACAACAAAAACUUAUUUCUCACAGUUCAGGCAACUGGAAAGUCCAAGAUUAAGGUGCUAGCAGAUUCCAUGUCUGGUGAAGGCCCGUUUUUGGUUGACAGG